GGGCAAGCUACUCAGGCUGGUGGAGUCUCAGCUUCCUUUUCUGCAAAAUGAACAGAACUCCAAACCAGGGCAGUGCCGAGUUCAGAGGACCUCCUGAAACCCCAGUGUCCUUCACCCAGAAAAGAGAACCAGCUCCAGAAAGAGGAACUGGUUGACCAGUAAAGUGAAUUUGCUUUGGAAGCUUGUGUCUCUACAGCUGGUGAGGUGGAAACCAGGAGCCGCUACAUGUGAAAUCCAUGGGAAGCUCUACUCCAUUGCUACAGCUGGGCAUACAGGGCCACCAGGAGGAUUGAGCAGUGACCCUUCCUGAAGCAUCGUAUCUCUCCUACCAAAUGUGUGCAGCCCAAUACACCUGUAAAGAUUGGGUAUGCAUAGCACCUGGCAUUCCAUAUGCAUUCAGGUUCAAGCAGCUCUUACUGUUGUGAGGAUUCCAUGAAAUGAUAUACGUGGAAGGAAGGGGACAGUUGGCUCGGCUCUGGGCCCAUAGACGGAGCUCACCAAAUGUUAUGUUUCUUACCCGUUCUGGAUGACCAUUUCUCUGAUGCACAAUGAGCCAUUUCCCUGCUCUUUCUUCAUACCAGGUGGCAGAGGAGUGGAGGAUGGGACGGGUGGUGGUUAGGCCUGAGCUCACAAGCUUCCAACCUCUCCAUGGGACCACCCUUCCCAGACAACCCCCUAUGACUAUUUGUCCCUGCAUCUUUGCUACAAUUCCUGGGACGGAGAAGCCUCUGACCUUAGCCUUGGGUUGGUUAUCUUAGCUGUUGGGGGCGGGAGAGAGAAAAAUGGUGGCAUGUGGAGUUGUUCACGAUGACUCUAGCUUGCAGGCUGCCACGGAUAAUCACCGUUUAUCAGCUCAUUGGAAAAAAUGACUACAGUUGCAUUUCACACAUCAACAAAAAGGAAAAAUAAAAACCCCAUUGGAAUGUC